AGAGAAGAGACGAUCAAUCUAUGGCUUCUAACCACAUGAAAAAGAGGUUCAACUCCUUUUACUUCUCUU
rnacentral:tRNA from 1 species